GUCAGAGGUGAAAUUCUAGGAUUAAUUGAAGACGAACUACUGCGAAAGCAUUUGCCAAGGAUGUUUUCAUUAAUCAAGAACGAAAGUAGGGGGAUCGAAGAUGAUCAGAUACCGUCGUAGUCUCUACCAUAAACGAUGCCGACCAGGGAUCCGGAGAAGUUACGUGGAUGACUCCCCGGGCACCUUGUGAGAAAUCAUAAGUCGCUGGGUUCUGGGGGGAGUAUGGUCGCAAGGCUGAAACUUAAAGGAAUUGACGGAAGGGCACCACCAGGCGUGGAACCUGCGGCUUAAUUUGACUCAACACGGGGAAACUUACCAGGUCCAGACACAGUAAGGAUUGACAGAUUGAGAGCUCUUUCUUGAUUCUGUGGGUGGUGGUGCAUGGCCGUUCUUA
rnacentral:rRNA from 1 species